rnacentral:rRNA from 1 species
GAUCAUGGCUCAGGAUGAACGCUAGCUACAGGCUUAACACAUGCAAGUCGAGGGGCAGCAUGGUCUUAGCUUGCUAAGGCCGAUGGCGACCGGCGCACGGGUGAGUAACACGUAUCCAACCUGCCGUCUACUCUUGGACAGCCUUCUGAAAGGAAGAUUAAUACAAGACGGCAUCAUGAGUCCGCAUGUUCACAUGAUUAAAGGUAAUUCCGGUUAGGACGAGUGGGGUAGUGG